CGCGGCCUAUCAGCUUGUUGGUGGGGUAACGGCCUACCAAGGCAACGACGGGUAGCUGGUUUGAGAGAACGAUCAGCCACACUGGAACUGAGAUACGGUCCAGACUCCUACGGGAGGCAGCAGUGGGGAAUCUUGCGCAAUGGGCGAAAGCCUGACGCAGCAACGCCGCGUGCGGGAUGACGGCCUUCGUGGUUGUAAACCGCUUUCAUCAGGGACGAAAAUGACGGUACCUGGAGAGGAAGCUCCGGCUAACUACGUGCCAGCAGCCGCGGUAACACGUAGGGCGCAAGCGUUGUCCGGAAUUAUUGGGCGUAAAGAGCUCGUAGGUGGUCUGUUGCGUCCGCUGUGAAAUCUCAGGGCUUAACCCUGAGCCUGCAGUGGAUACGGGCAGACUAGAGGUAGGUAGGGGAGAACGGAAUUCCUGGUGUAGCGGUGAAAUGCGCAGAUAUCAGGAGGAACACCGGUGGCGAAGGCGGUUCUCUGGGCCUUACCUGACACUGAGGAGCGAAAGCGUGGGGAGCGAACAGGAUUAGAUACCCUGGUAGUCCACGCCGUAAACGUUGGGCGCUAGGUGUGGGAUCCUUCCACGGAUUCCGUGCCGCAGCUAACGCAUUAAGCGCCCCGCCUGGGGAGUACG
rnacentral:rRNA from 1 species